AUCUAUGAACCACCGCUAGCUGACCACACAAAUCUCAAAAAUCUUCAAACUUCUCUCUUUAUAAUGCAUAAAAUGGCUUUACCCAAUUCUUGAAUAAGUUGGUACUGUCAUAGUUUUAACUGGACAUAAAUCUAUGGGUUUGUAGCGAAAAGAUGAACUACUUCCGACGGGAACCCACUUUUGGCUCGACGGUAUGCAAAUUGUGGCACCACUUCUACUCCAAUAUGUAGGAACAAUACAAGAAGCCCUAAGGUUUAAUUUUACAUUCA
rnacentral:lncRNA from 1 species